rnacentral:rRNA from 1 species
UACGUAGGGGGCAAGCGUUGUCCGGAAUUAUUGGGCGUAAAGAGCGCGUAGGCGGUCCGAUAAGUCGGCUGUGAAAGUCAGGGGCUCAACCCUUGGAAGCCGGCCGAUACUGUCGGACUAGAGUCCGGAAGAGGCGAGUGGAAUUCCCGGGUGUAGCGGUGAAAUGCGCAGAUAUCGGGAGGAACACCAAUGGCGAAGGCAGCUCGCUGGGACGGUACUGACGCUGAGGCGCGAAAAGCGUGGGGAGCAAACAGGG